rnacentral:lncRNA from 1 species
CGCCGGAGGCUUCACCCGACCCUACCAUGUCCGACGCCAGCGCAGGUGCCAGCUUGUCGGAAGACUCGUAUACAGUUACAGAAACCCGAUGUUGAGGACACAGUGGCACUACAACUAUCCCCCUUCAGGAUUGAGCGUCCUCGGUCAAUCCUCGAUGGUGCGAGUCGCCCGCUCGCGAGCGCUCUGCAGGUCAGCAGCCAUAUCAGGGGUAAAGUUAGACUCAGGCUCCCAGCUGUUAUGCUUAGAGGAGUAGCCCUUCCAUUUGACCAAGUACUCCUUAACCAAUCGCCGGCGAUUGUUACCUAACGCCACAGCGCGACGGCGGAAGUCCAGGAUGCGCCCUACUGUCCAUAGGGGUUGGUCGUCAAUCCAUGCAACAGGUCCAGGCCCAUCAUCAGACUCAGGCCCAGCACGCCCACCUGCCGUGCCCGUGUACUUGCGCACCAUGGACACGUGGAACGUGUGAUGGAUGUUCUUCAGCGACGCCGGCAGUGCAAGCUGAACAGCAGCCCCACUACUAACCGGACGUACCACAGUAAAAGGCCCAAUCCAGCGCGGUAGCAGCUUGCGCGGUCCCUUAGCCCGAGCGCGCAGAUUCUUGGUGUUGAGCAGGACCAAGUCGCCAGGCCGGUACGUGACGUCUUUCUUGUUGCGAUUGUAGUAAUUCGCAGCACGGCUCUGAGCCGCCUCCAGGCAGGCGCGCGCCUCAGCCAUCCUAUGCACGUAAGAUUUAGCAAACUCAC